rnacentral:lncRNA from 1 species
GUCGUAUAUGGGAAUGAAUGUGACAAUAGAGAGACUGAUGAAGCUUUGCAGUGCGGCGGGGGGGACUUGGAGCUUCGAACCGAUUCUUCGGUCUAACGUGCUCGCUUGCUUUAUGAAGAAGGUCGAUGAUUGUGCGAAAACAACACCGUAUAUCAAGCAAGUCGCCCAUAUAGGGAACAAUCGGAGGACAGCCUUCGCUUCUUGUAAAUUAUCAUCGUUUUCGGUUCCUCGAUCUCCCUCGCUCAAAGCCCUACAUGACGAAGAGGAGUUAGUUUUACGCGAAGGUUAUGGAGCAGUGAACUUCCGCGUAAAAAAGAACAUUUUAAGAUCUCGAGAACUUGGUAGCUCGGAAACUUCUAAUCCACGCCAUGAAAGCUUUCCCGACCCGAGCACAUGGGCUCUCCUCGUCGAGAACGUAGUAUCGGUACGUCCUUGUCCCGAGCAAAAAGACGACGAGAGCAAAGAACAUGAUGAUGCACGGGAUCCCGAACCCUAGCCCCCAUCCAAUGUUGUCUUGGAUGUAGCUUGACACUAUAAGUGUCACCGUCGCGCCGGCGCACAAUCCAAAGUACCACCAGUUGAAGAACGAGCUCUUGGCGAUGCGUUCCUCUGGGUCGGUCUCGUCGAAUUGGUCCGCACCGAACGCCUGAACGCACGGCUGGUGGCCGCCCUGCGCGAGGGCCACUAUGUAGAGGGAGACGUAAAAGAGGGUGACUUUGAAAGACGAAUGCGCGCAUUUCGUUCCAUCGAUAGCAUCGCGAUCGCAUCGCGAUAGAACAGAGGACAAGGUCAGCAUCCCCAGGCCCUGCAGGUAACUCAAAAAACGUUGUUCUGAAUAUUAUAGAUGCUUUUGAAGGCGAAGAAGAAGUUUGAGAUCAUUUUAUUGAUUGUAACUUUACCCAAAGACCAAAGUACUACAUAAAAGUUAAAUUUAUAGAUUUGUAAACACAAUUUAAAAAUGUAUUUUAUGCACAUCUGAAAAUGCAUUUGUGAUGCUUAACUAGUUAAACAAAAAUGCAUUGGAGUGGACUUCCCAUUAAACAGAUGAGUGUUUAUUUUUCUUAACAUUGAUAAGUUCAGUAAGACCUAAGGCUCAGAAUUUUUUUUUCUAACACCAUACGAAAUAACCAUUUUUUUUAAAAAAACUUACACGGCUAACAAAAAUAAUAUUUAAUAUUUAAUAUAUUUAAUGAAUCCUGAGAUGAGCUAGUAAUUUAUUGGCAUUCAAACUUGAUAAUGUGGUUACUUAAGCCAAUUUUGUAUUACAUUACAUGAAUUGAGCUCCUGUGCUUUUAAAAGUACAGAAGCAUUUGUACUUGUAAUUUUUUAGCUGUCGAAUCACUUUAAGAUCUGUACAGCACUAGUAAUGAUAUGUCCCAUGAAGUCUUUUUAUUAAUAUUGCACGGAUCUUGAGACGAUCCAACAAUUAAAAAUCACAAACACGUUGAGCUCCCGUGCUUUUCAACUCUACAUUACAUUAUCUCCAUUACCUUUUUUUAUUAUUAAUUUAUUCUAACUAUUUUAAUCACUUCACACAUUUAGCUUCACAGAAUAACCUAAUUGUUAAUAGACUCGUAUACCAUUCCUCCACUCCCUUUUUAACUCGAUUCCUUUAACCAAUAUUAUUCUAAAUAUUUUAAAUUUCUUAAUUUUUUUUUUCUUUUUUACAUCCAUAGUUUAUAAAAUUAUUUAAUUUUUCAGUAUGUCUUUGUAAAGUUCACAUUUAUUGCAAUGAAAUUGCCUAAAUACUAAUAGACUUUUGAAAAAAAUUUAGUUCUCACUCUUUUGCGUGCAUGCACCAAUGUAGUUUUAAAUUUGUAAGUUUUUAAAUAAACUUUUUUUUUAUCUAAAUUACACAAAUCAUGAAUUAAAAUUAUUAUACUUUUAAAAGGAAUAAUUUCUAUCAAUAUCUCUAUGGGAGAUCGUAAUUUUAUGAAUAUUUCUUUAAACUUAAAAAAUAUCACUAAUGCCCCUCUAAAAACCAGAAAUAAUCACAAAUACCCUUCGUGUUAAUAAUUCGUCAAAAUGUCAUCUAAUAUUCUUUAAAUAUCAUUUUAACCCCGAAUACUAAUUUAACUUUUUUUAUUUACACCCUCUAAACUGAAGAUAAUUUUGUCUUUGUUUUUCUUUUUUUGGUGGCAAUUGAGUGAUUUUUACCAACUAAAAUAUUUUUUUUUUUAGAAAAAAUUCAUGUGUGAAAGAUCUCAAUUGAAAAACUUUAUCACCCCCUUAUCCUCCCUUCAUACCCAAACGUAAAUUUUUUAUUCAAAAAUAGUAGUUCUCCUGAAAUAAACUGAUAUAAUUAUCCCCACCAACACUUCCAUUUUCUAUAUAUAACUACCCACUAUUUUUAUUAUUCUAUAUUAUCUAUCCAAAUGCUAUUUUUCUUAUCCCCAGGAACAACCCAAUUUUCAUCCAAACGCUAUUUUUCUUAUCCCCAUACUUAUAUCUAUCCUUGUAAUAGUUAGUUCUUGCUUAUACCUGCCGAAUCAAACGAAGCCUUAACUAAGAACAACAACCCUAAUAAAAAAUCUAAAGCCAAGGGGUCUUAAUGAAAAAAAGAAGUAAUUAAAGAUGUUUAUUUGAAACCUUAGAAGAGUACUCAUAAAAUUGUCCCUUAAUGCUCAAAAAAAAUACCACUCCCACCUUUUAGAAGUAAAUUCAUCAUUUAAUAAACAGAAAUAAGCAUGACAAUUUUAUGAGUACUCUUCUAAGGUUUCAAAUAAACGGUGUCUCUGGCUCCAUCUUCAUGGGACUCCGUCAGAUCGAAUCCCCUGAUCUUCUGUUCCUUUUUGUUUUACAUAAUUUGAACAUUUGGGAUUACACUACUCUAACAUUAGACCUUCAUUUUUUUAUAUUUAUCCUUGACACUACAUUUUCACUUACUUACGAACAUUUUCGAUCAUCAAAUACAUAAACUAUGAAGGAAUACGUUAGAACUAACUAUAGGCAAGGACCAACCUUGUAUAGAUAUAACAAACCUAACGCUGCGGAACCUGCAUGACCCCUCUGAGACAGGCGCAUGUUUCCUUAGGGGCCAGGCAAGCCGCCAGACAACAGCCGCGGCGCCGGGCCAGGUUUAUCCGCCAACCAGCGCCCCGCACUGUGUACGAGAGAUGAUGUAUCUCCAGGGUUUUAAAUGAUGUGUAUUGGAUACGUACUAUUCGUAAGAUUUUAAGUAUUAUUUAUGUAAAUUGUACUUUUACGUACUUAAAGUUGAAAUGCCUUGUAAAUCGUGGUUUAUACUCGUAAAGAGUAUAACAUACGAUCCGGUUUGGGUGGCUUGGCAGCGCACGAGGAAGCUAAGCGGCUUGCCUCAACAGGUGCUCGGAGUUCUAUAGGAUUUUCACUAGUCGCUUCUCUAUGCUCUCGUAAUGCUGGUUGGUAUUCCAGUUUGUAAUUGGAUCUUUGUUUUUCCCGGUUUUAAAUGGAGUUCUCAUCUUUAGAGAAGAUUUCGAGGUUUUCUCUCGAUCUUGGGAAGGUUAGGUUCGGGAUCCUUCCAAGAUUAGGUUAGUUAGAUCGGGGUUUUCGGGAUUUAGUUUUUCGGGGUUUUUAGUUGGGAUUAGAGUAAAGAUCCCAAGGUAAAUGGUUUUUAGGAGUUUAGUUACAGAUAUCCCUCCCUUUCUCGUUGUUUGGAGAUUCUUCGAGGUUAGGUUUGAGGCUCCUACUUCUAGAGGAGAAACCAUUCGAGGUUCAGGUUCGAGGUUCGUGGUUCCUUCUUCUCUUCCACUCCUUCCGCGAGGUUCAGGAGAGUUUCGAGAGUUUGAAGAAGAAGAAGGGAGGAGGAGGAAGAAGAAGAGGAGGAAGAAGAGAGAGAUUAUUCCCAUACCUCCCUCACACUCCUCUCUUUACUCUUUCUCUCUCCCAUCUUCCCGAUAAAUCCGGUAGGUUUCAUUGUUUUAGGGUCCUCCAGGGAGUUUUCAGAUUAUAACGUAGUCGGGCCAGACCCGUCAAAAGCGGGUCUCCCUGGCCAGAGAGGGGUCGUCCCUGGCCAGAGAGCGACGCUUGGGCUUUUUGGUCGCAAGCCCUUGGCCAGAGAGGGACGCGCCCUGGCCAGAAAGUGACGCUUCUGCGCAAGCCCCUGGCCAGAGCGGAUGGUCCCUGGCCAACGGAGUCCGACGGAGUUGUGACGAGUGACCCCCUGGCCAGAGAGGAAGGUCCCUGGCCAGGGGCUCUCAUUUUUAAGAGUCCUGAACAGGUCUUAAAGCAUAAAGCUUGAAAAAUCCAGCCUUUUGUAAGAUGUUGGGAGGUGGGUCUCACCUUUUCAAGCUUUAUGUAGGUUUGUGAGCUUGGAGCGUUAAACGUUUCCAGGUCACACAAUGUAGGUAUCCUAUCCGAAUCGAAAAACUCAUUAUUUUAUCUAACCCUGUCAACAUCCCCAGUGUACAUGUAGAGAUCACAAUUACCCGUGUGGGUAUAUGGACGAUUAAAGUAUCCUAUCCCUGCCGAAACAGUGUAACGUUUUAUAUGUUUGUAGAUAUUUAUUAGGUCAGGAAUGUAUGAACGUAACGACUUUUAGAUGGAAUGACUUUUAGAGAAACUGAGGUGUAAUAUAAAGGUAUCUAAUGUUAAUAAAACAAUAGGGAAUCAUCAAUAGUAUAAAGGGUGACUAAGGAGAGCAGGGUCGUUGUGAAUGACGAAGUAGGGGACAUGAGGACUGGUAUAUCUAUGACUACCGAAUCACUUAGCACGUCGUUUUCAUUGGUAGCGACGGUUGCUUUCACUAUUGCUGACGAGUGUCUAACGACAUCGACCAGACGAACGUGUUGCCUAUCCACCGGCUGGGAGUCUAAACGUUAAACGUCUUCGACCACGUCCUUCAAAAUAGCAAAAGAAAGGAUGACUCUUUUCCACAGUCUUUCGAUAAGCAGCAAGGGGUUAUUCCUUGCUGUAUAAUUGUUAGUGUCAGUGAGGUACCCUUCGGUCAGCCGUAUGUCGGUGUGGUAGUAAAGUUAUGAAGCAUACCUAAGCGGAUGUUUUAAAUGGCGAGAUAACGGUAGUCAUAGUUCUCAAUUGAUGAUAACACAGCUCAAAACCGUCUAUGGAUACCAGGUUACUCCGGUCGGCAGUAGCACUUUUAGAUUUGAUGAUAGCACAGAACUAUUUUACAUACUUAGGAGCAUAGUAUGGUCUUAUAUAAUAUGAGGUAAAUUCCUUAUCUCUUACCUGUUAAAAACAAGUCUAACUCAGUACCCUUUGAACGGGCGGUUGACUUUCAGGUACUACAUGACAUAUGACAUGGUGGACGUAGCGUAUAAAAUAGUCUCAAAAUUACAUUAUAAUUCACACCCAGUAACAGAAGUUUAUAUAAACAAAAUAUAACGUAUAAAACAAAACAGUUGGUAUAGACUUUUACGUGACGCCCUUUAUAUAAUUAAAUAUAUACGUGAAAAUAUCCCCUCUGGGCUAAAAACUGUAAUAUCGUUUUUUACCUUGUGAAUAUGCCGAUGAGUCAUGUGAAAUUUUUAACUAACCUUGUGGGUAUAUAGACUGCCACGAUUCAUCCAGAAUAUUUUCUUCCAGAUUAAUAACGAAAUGAAUCCACGUAGACAUCACCACAUCUCGUGUGGGUAUAUAGAUCCCUUUUCACUAUACUGGUGAAAAUAUCUAGACUGUGCUAAAAAGUGUAGUAUCGGUCUUUGCCUUGUGAUUAUCGGGUCCAGCCAUGUGAAAUUCGGGACCAAACUUGUGGCUAUAUUAACUGUCACGAUUAGUUCAGAAUAUUUAUUUCCGAGAUCGAUACCGAAAUGGCUCCACGUAGGUAUCACGAUUACCCGUGUGAGUAUAUAGAUCAUCACUAUACACGUGAAAAUAUACCCUCUGGACUAAAAAGUGUAAUAUCGGUCUUAGCUUUGUGAAUAUGACGUCAACCCAUGUCGAUAGGGGAACCAACCUUGUGGGUAUAUAUACUGUCACGAUUCAUUGAGAUUUUUUUUUGGAGAUCGAUAUCGACGGUGUAGAUAUACAGGUGAAUUUAUACCAUCCGAUUCUGGACAUUACGAUAUCGAAUGUUACCUUGACAAUAUGAUGAAAGUCCAUGUAAACAUCACAGUUUCCCUUGUGAAGAUAUGUACCAUGUAAACAUCACAAUUUCUUUUGUGAAGAUAUCACGGGUGAAAAAAUAUGAUCUACACGUUAAAAGAUAUGAUCCGGCAUGUUCGGUGCAAGUAUCCCAUCCCUUUAGAAAAGUUUUAAAUAUACAAUUUAAUGUUUAAAAGUUUUAAAUUUUAAAUUUACAAUUAAAAAUCGUAAAUGUAAAAAUUAUAUAUUUAAUAUAAAAAAAUAAAUUUGUAACUUUAAAUUUAAAAUUUUAAUAUUUAUAUUUAUAAUAUUAAUAUAUAAAAUUUUAGGUAUUAAUAAAUGUAAAGAUUUAAAUAUAAAUAUAAAUAUUAUACAUUAUAAAUUAAAAAAAUAUAAAGUAUUAAUAAAAUUUAAAAUUUAUCUUUAAAAUAUGAAAAAUUAAAAAUAUAAUACAAAAUUUAAUUUUAUAGUAUAAAAUAUAAAACAUGGAAAGCUUUAAAUUUUUAAAAUUAAAAUUAACUUUAAAUUUAAAUUUCAAAUUUAAUAAAAAUUUAUUUUACACGCGAUGGGUUGAGGGGUCAAUUUUCGAUGGGCUGAGGGAUCAGUUUUUUCGAUCCCGAGUAAAACAGAAAAAGAGGGAAGUUGAGAGGGGGGGAAACUCAUCGGUCGUCGAGCCUCGAGACAAUCCACUCGAUGGACUGAGGGGUCAGUUUUCGAUCCCGAGGUAAAACAGCUAAAGAGGGAAGUUGAGAGGGGGGGAAACUGAUCGGUCGUCGAGCCUCGAGCGUUCGGAGAGCUCAUCGGUCGUCGAGCGUCGAGCGUUCGGAGAGCUCGUCGGUCGUCGAGCGUUCGGAGAGCUCGGAGGAGUAGGAAUGUUUGAGCGACAGUCCCGCCCAGCGAUCACGCAAUGUCUAACGACGACGAAGGGGAAGUCCAUUCGAAUAGAAGGGCGUCUCUUUCAUAUAUGUUAAACAGUCUAACUGUUGGGUUCACCUCCGCUGACUAAAGCAAUAGAUGUAAUACCUUGUUAAUCCUUAUUAUAACUUUAUAAAGGAAAGUCGGUAUCGGAUGUAUCACAUUGAUCCCCACCGUUAGGUCGAGCGACAAACGCUCGGUCGAGCACAAGCCGAGCUUUAUUCGACGUCUAGCCGAGCGAGCAAAUCAUUUGCUUGGCUUGUGCUCGACCUAAAAAGUCGAGCAAAUUAUUUGCUCGGCUUGUGCUCAACCCCAGUCGAGCCAGCACAAGCCGAGCUAUUGUCGAGCUUAUGUAUAUAAAAUAUAAAUAGAUUAAAUAAUUAAAUAUAUAAAUAUAUAUUUAUUUAUUAAUUUAGAUUAUAUAGAAAAAUAAUAAUAUAAAAAUCGGUUUUUUUAUAUUUACGCCCGAAAUAAUAUUUUUCUGAGUAAAUAUACAUUUCAAAGUUGAUAAUCUAGUUUCAGAUUAUCUAUUCUAAACUAUUUAAAUAAAAAAUAUAUAUAAAUUAGAUUAAUAAAAAUUAAAUAACAAGCAACCGGUCGAGUACUCGGUCGAGCACAAGCCGAGCAAUUAUUUGCUCGGCUUGUGCUCGACUUAAAAAGCCGAGCUAUGAAAUUGCUCGGUCGAGCACAAGCCGAGCAAAUUAUUUGCUCGGCUUGUGCUCGGCUGGGGCCGAGCGAGCACAAGCCGAGCAAAUGUGGGGAUCAACAUCAAUCCAGAUUGAUAUAGUUUGGUUUGUUUUUUUAAUACUAGCGGUUUGUCGGGGAUCACUUCAUACACUACCAACAGUUUUAAAAUAUCAAUAUCUUCUAUCAAUUGAAAAGAAAAAUUCUAUUAAAAAAAAAACAGUUAUGGGGAGAUUUUAAAUAUUUAAAACAUUUAUAGUGAUCUUUCAAAUUUUAUAGCAAAGAAACAUUGAAAGCUUANGCUUAUUUUAUAUUUUUAUUUGUUACCUGUAUUAUAGAUCAAUUUAUAUUUAGUUUUGUAGUUCAAUAAUGUCUUACUUUUGUUAUGACCAAAUCUAUUAUAUGUUUACAUUUAAACUUCACUGAAUUGAUAUUUUUUUUUUUAUAUUGCAUAUAUACAAUCAUCUAUAAAUACAUAAUUUUAUAAUAUUAAUUAUCAACUAUAAAUAUAUAAUUUUAUAAUAUGUAAACUUAUAUAUAAAUAUAAUGUUUUAAUUAGUAAUUAAAAGAUCGCAUGAUUAUUUUAUAUUCCGGAGAGGUAAUUUUAUCUCUCUAUCUAAAAAGUAACUGGAUUCACAAAUAUAAAUCAGCCUACCAAAUAGAAAAAAAAAAGUAACGGUACAGUUGCAACUGUAUGAACCAAACAGACUAGUUGUAGUUACGACGGCAAUAUUUGCAACUGCGCGUAUUUUUAACUACACUGUUUUUGCAACUAAAUCCAUCCAAACGGUCCCUAAAAGGUCAUCUAGUGAGAUGUAAUUAGAAAUAUAGUCUAGCUGGAAAUAAAUGCAGUUGAAAAUGCACCAUUUAUAACUACAUACAUCUUAUUUGGACUUUUUUUUGAAAUAACCCUAUAGAAUUUUCUAAUUGGAUAAAUAAUUCUAUGAAUUUUUUUUUAGCAAACUAACCCUCCUUUUGUCUUGUAGGAGGCAUGGUAAAUUGUUUUCUUAAAUAUGGUGAAUCAUUCACCGCCUUCAUGAAGUCGGUUAACGAUUCACCGCAUUUCAUUUUCACAAAAGUGAUAAAUCAUUUACUGUCUUUCCCUAAAUAUGCAUCUAUUUCUUUCUAUUUUUCAUAUAUAAUCUUAACAACUAUAUAAAAAUUUCAACAAAUUAUAUAUAAUCUUAAUAACCUAAAAAUCCCUAAUAAUCUAAAACAAAAAUCCUAAUAAUCCACAUAGAAUUCUAACAAUCUCACUUUUUUAUAUUUCCUAUAUAUAAUCCUAAUAUCCGUAUAAAAAUUUCAACAAAUUGCAUAUAAUCUUAACAACCUAAAGAAUCCUAACAAAUAAUUUUUAAGAUGUUAAGGAUUUUGUAUUGGCAAGUUUCGUGAUUUGAGUCGGAGUCUUGAAGGGUUCAAUACGUGAUUGUCGAAGAUCGAAGAAUCCGAGAUUCCGAAGAACUCAGAAAUGUCAUAUUGGAUGAAUCACGAUGCUCAGGUAAGCGUUUAAAUGUUUUAAUAGUGAUUCAUACUUACUUAUGACAUUAGAAUCAUAUGAAUCAAUGUUAUAAGGAUUAGAAGUGGGUUUUGGUAUUGUUCAAUUUAAUAUAACAAUAUUUGAUAUUGUGUACCGGUACCUGUAUUCAGUUCCUCAAAACCGUCUUUGAAAAAUCAGUUUUUAAUACUGAGUACCAGUAUCUCACUUUGGUACCUCAAAAUCCGAAGAGCAGUGUUCUGUGAAUUACAGUGUUCUGUGAAUUACACUGUGUACCAGUACCACAGCCGAGUACCGGUACUGCAUUGGCCGCGUACUGGUACUCAGCCUGAGGAAAUUUUCGUGUCGUCAUGGUGUACCGGUACCAAAUUUCGGAGUACCGGUACUUAAUGUAAUAUUUCCUUAAUUAGCUUCUAAUCUGAUUCUAAAGUCUAUAAAUAAGAUAUUGGGGUUCUCUAUUUCAUUGAACAUCACGAGAAUACUUGUAUGAGAAACCCUAGAGGCUAAGUUUUUAUUCUAAACCUAUUUUCCACAAAUUAGCCUCUUUUAGGUCAAUUCGAGAUAUUGUAAUUUGAUAUCUACAUGUCGAAUUGAUCUAAGGUUUGCUUAGAGAUUCUUCUCUGGUUCUUCAUCGAUACUCUAAGCGAAGGAUCACCGCAUAAACAUGAUGUUCUUCAUGUGCGGCGUCGUGAAUUCGGCGUGAUCGAAGGAGGUUCGUGGAUUCGGAUCGUGAGCUCGUGGAUUCGAGUGGCGUCCGUGGAUUCGGACGUGUGCGUGGCGUUCGUGAAUUCGAACGUGAGGGCGUGGACAACCCGUAGGAUUGCGCGAGAUUCAUAGGAGGUUAGGAGAGAUCGAGUCCGUGGAGUCGGUAAUCACCUUGUUAUCUUUUCUCUUAGUGAAUUAUUUUUUCGUGUGUUGAUCCCGUAGGUUUUUCUCUAAGUUAGAGUUUCCCACGUAAAUCUCGUGUGAUUUUCACUUUUUCGCAUUUAAUUUUAUCGCAUUGAGAUUUGUGAUUUUUGGGACAUAUACCUAUUCACCCCCCUCUAGGUGUGAUAGUAUCUAGAUAGAUCCUAAGGUUUCUAUAACAUACAAUUGGUAUCAGAGCGGGAUUUAGAUUUAUCUAUCAUAAUGGGUGAAGGCGGCAAUAUUAAUCGACCUCCACUCUUCUAUAACACAAACUAUGCCUAUUGAAAAGUUCGCAUGAGAGCUUUUCUAAUAUCAAUCGAUGAGCGGGUGUGGCAAUCAAUAGAAUUCGGAUGGAAACAUCCCACCGAAGUCGUCUAUAAUGCUACCGUCCUUAAACCUAAAAAUAAAUGGACGAAAGACGAAAAUGAGUCAUCUUAGUUCAAUGGAAAGGGGAUAAAUGCUUUGUUUAAUGCUUUGUCACAAACGGAAUUUACUCGUGUUUCGGCGUGUGAAACCGCCAAAGAGAUUUGGGAUACUCUACAAGUUACACAUGAAGGUACAAGUCUAGUAAAAGUACAAAAGCUCUAAAUAUUGACAAGUCAAUUUGAUUCUAUUCGAAUGGAGGAGCAUGCAUCUUUUACUGAUUAUUAUACUAGACUUCAAGACAUAAUUAAUACAUGUGCUAACUUGGGAGAGAAGAUCCCGGAAUCAAAAAUUGUUAGAAAGAUUUUUCAAACUCUUCCGGAGCGUUUUAGGAAAAAAGUUGCCGCGAUCGAAACUGUUAAGCAUCCGGAUGAGAUGAAAGUCGAAGAGUUAGUAGGUGCGUUGCAAACAUAUGAAAUGACUUUUCCUGCUAAUCAAUCUUCUUCCAAGUUUUCUUCUACAAGCACAGGGGUUGUGUUGAAAUCGACGAAGGAAGAAGACGUGGACUCGGAAUUCGACGGAGACAUCUCAAUUGCGGACUUUGAACAUCAAUUGGCACUAAACUGUCCCUGAUAUAUUGACACUAAACUUCCAAUCAUUUGUAUCUAAUUAUUAUUGUGUGAUUGAUUUGAUCUGAUCCAACGAACCUAUCGUGCACGCAUGCAUUAAAGAUGACUUGUUGACAUCAAUUUCCCCAUGGAGAGUACCUACCAACAACUCUAAUAUCAGAAGAGUUUUUACUGCAUUUAUGGGUCCAUAUGCCAUGUAGUGAUGUGUCCAUGUUUUCAUACACAAAAAAAAGAGAAAAAAAUGUCCCUGUAACGUUUCUAAACAAGGCAAUAUUUUAUUUUUCAUUUAAUUUUAGUUUAAUUUAACAAGGCACAAUUGGAACGUCAUUUGACUAAAUCAUAUACACUCGUAAUGUAGUGUCUCUGGGGUUUAGUGGUCGGACCGACUGCAGCAUUAGUGGCUCGUCGACAUAUCUGUGGAGUGUCGGGACGAGCCGGAGUUGUUUUGGUGCGAAAUAGAUGCGAAAACGGGCUCGGAGCUGUGAGAGUUGGAGUUCAAACACUGAAGUCCGCAAAAGCAAAAUUUGUAGUGUUGAGUACCGAUACCAGGGAGGGUGUGCCGAUACCCCAGAGGGAUUACCCGAAGGGGGGCUCUCGGGUUUGCGAGACUGGAGUUGAGUACCGGUACCGCGUCGAUGAGUACCGGUACUGUUUUUGGUACCGGUACCCAGCAUGCGAGUUUGCUGGCUGAGUGCCGAGUACUGGUACCCAAGUUGAGUACCGGUACCCAGUAGGCAGAUUUGAGUUGGUAAGGAACUUUUUGGUCCUUUUGCUGUGUCGAUCAUUCCAACCGACCCUCAGUUUAUUGAUAUGCGUAGGGAGCUUGGAGAAACAGUAUUCUUCUUAUCUUCUUCUCUCUCUCUACCUUGUAUACACCGUCAUUGGGAAGUUGAGGAUCGAUCUCGUUUCGUUCUACGGAGCUUUGGAGGGUUGCGCGUGCACCGUGGUUGAUUUCAGUUGAGUCGUUGGAGGUCGAGCUAGCACGGGGUUGCUCCUAUCGACUUCUAGCCGGUAUUGGACGAGAGUUCGAGGUGGGUUGAUGUUGCUCGAACACUUCGAAAUUCUCCCUAAGUUUCAGAAAAUGUCAGCAUGUAUUUUCUUGUUCGAUCAUCAUGUUUAGUAGCCCGAAUUCAUGGAUGUGCAUGUUUAUAUGAAACCUGAAUUUGGAGCAUCAUUAGAUGAAGUAUAUAUAUAUAUGCUGAACUGAGAUUUGACGUAGGAGAAAAUCGAUUAAACCUACACUGUCAUUUUCGAAAGUUAACCGAAUUAGCUUCAGAAGCUAUUGUUUUUUUGUAUCAUCGCUGUUAGUGUAUAGUGGAUACUCAAAGUAGUGUAGGUUGACAUUAUAUACGCUUGUGCUGAGGGACCGAGCUCGUUUUAUAGUAGCAUUGGACUGUUUCGUACUGUCGGGAGCUGUCAGAGCUGACGGUGGAUCCAGAUGUCUACAUCUUCUAUCAGAUUGUGCCGAGACCACGUGAGCCUUGGUUGUUAGACCAGUUUGACCUAUUUGCAUUGACUAUAGCCUGUGUGAGCCUGAUUGAGCUCGACAGAGAUACGCUUGCGUACUCGGUAGGGUUGCUCCCACGAGUGUCGCUCCGGAGUGAGACUUUUACUUGCGUUGAUGUCGCAGCAGUCCUGUUUGGACAUUGUUCUUGGACUGGCCACCCCUGUGGGUGAUGUGCGGUGCAGCUUGGGUAGAGGCUGGACUGACUAGUUGGCGGUCCAUUGAGAUUGGGUCAGUGUAUUGUAGCUAGUGAUGCAUUUUUAUGUCUACAGAGAGUAUGGUUUGGAUAGCGAUAGAAUAGUGGCAUAUAGCUGUAGGGUUUCUUCCAGCUUACUUUACUAUCCUCUACAUACCUUUCCUGUAGACUUAGUGGGUAGGCCGUUGGGGUCGGUAACGGUACCCACUGAGGACUACUCUGUUUUGCAGUAGUUCUCACACGCAAUUGUUGCCACCUUUCUGCAGAGCCUUCGUCUACUGCUGUUGUUGCUGAUUCUAAUUGUGGGAAGGGAGUCGCGAGCUAAAUCCCUGCCACCCCUGGAUACUGUGCUAGAGGAGUACCCUUCAGAGGUAGUUUUGGGUUGCUCCAUGUACAUACUGUAAUGUUAAUUGUACUCGCUAGAGUGAGGUUGUUCUAUUGGCUUUUGUAUGUACAGUGGACCCCUUUUAUGUUAUAUAUAUAUAUAUAUAUAUAUAUAUAUAUAUAUAUAUAUAUAUGUUCAUUUUUAGCAGCUCUAUACUUCUAGUUGUAGCUUUGACUUGGUUACAGGCACUACAAUAGAAUUAGGUUAUAGGGAUACAUGUUUGGGACACUUUUGUGUAAGUGUCCUAUUUAUGCCAAAAUUUUUUAAAAAAUCUACUAAUGCCUAAAUAUAAAGUCCAAUCCAACCAAAAAUAAAAGGUUACUCUACUCAACCCACCCCACCCAGCCCAUUCGGCCAGAUUACAAACAGAAAAAAAAAGAAAAAAUCGAUUACCAUUUCUCCUUCUCCCCUCACUCAAUCAACUGAAAUCCCAGACGAAAAUCCCUUCCUCUCAUCCUUCUCCGCCACCGCAGCCAACAAGGUAGAGUUCCGGCGGUUGCUAAAUACUUAAAUAAAUAUUGGUAAAUUAGCAGCACUCUUUUUAUGUUAUAACGACACUCUUUAACUGUCACUAAAUACCUAGUGAGCCCACAUAUAGCAACACUUUUUAAAAGUGUCGGUAAUUUAGCCAGCAGCACUUCUUUUGACCUUUACCGAUAUUUAAAAGUGUUGCUAUAAACCUUUUUUGUUGUAGUGAGGUACAGCUUUCGCUUCGUAUAUACGAAAAAUUUCUAUGUAUACGGCGGGUCUGUUGGCGUGCCAGAGAAAACGUGUUAAUUCGGGGCGUGACACGCAAACACUACGAAAUCUAAGUACAUAAAAACCUUCCGAAAUUGUCAAAAUCACAAAUCAAUUUCAAAUUUUAAAAAAUUAUCAAAACUAUAUAUCUAAUAUUGCUAACAUUAUAUUAAAAAAAUAUAUGGCUAAACUAAUUUUACUCCUUCAGUUGAUUAUCAUCAAAAUAUUGGACUUUAUCAAUUGAAAUAGAAACAAAGUUAAAAAAAGGUGAUGGCAUAAAUUACAGAAAAAAUUAUUCAAACUUUAAAAUGAAUAUAAGAAAGUUGUCCUAAGUUAUAUAAAUUGAAUAAAAAACUAUUAAAUUAUAUGAUAGUUGUAAGGGACAAAUAAGUUCUUUUAUUUUCUAACUCCUAUAAAAUUCUAACGAAAAUUAAAGAGAAGGGUAUAUAUAUAUAUAGAGUUGGACUGGGCUACUAUUAGUAGCAAAAUUCUAUUGUUGCUAUCAGUUUUUUAGCCAUUAGAUCAACUCUUUUCGUCAUUUCUAACCAUUGGAUUAAAUACUAUAACCCAGUGGGGACCACUCAACCCUAGGGGGACCACUCAACUCUAACUGACUAAUAUCAUCCUAACCCUACAAUUUUUCAUCCAAGGGUUAAAAACUUGAUAGCAAAAAGAGUGUUUUACUACUAAUAGUAUUCCAGCCUAAUUCUCUCUCUCUAUAUAUAUAUAUAUAUAUGGAGUAGGGCUGCUGUGCUUUUAGGAGCACAGAGGCCUUCGUGCUCCUCAGCAGCCCUACUUUAUAUAGAGUAGGGCUGCUGUGCUUUUAGGAGCACGGAAGCUUUCGUGCUCCUGAGCCGUUUUCGAUAAUGGAAUUUCCGAAUCGACGAUCGGCUCCGUCAGACUUAAUCUAGCGUAUUUGAAGUUUCUAGAAAAUAAUUUUUGCGAUUUUUUGAGCUUCUAUGCUUUUAAAAGUAUCAAGUCAUUGGUGCUUGUAAAUUUUUGGCCCUUAGAUUAAGAAAUAUGUGGUUAGGAUGAUGUGGGGCCCCUAGGGUUGAGUGAGUGGUUGGUUGAAUACUAUAAUCUAAUGUGACACCCCAAUAAUCCCACAUCGGAUGGGAAUGGGAUUGUCAUUGGGUUUAUAAGAGACUUAGACACUAGUAAUAAUAACUGGGCUUAAGCAUUUUGGGCCGGUUGUUGGGCCCAACGAGUUAUUGUUGCUAGUGGGCUGGGUCGUUACAUUUGGUAUCAGAGCCGGUUCACCAGCUGGACAUGUGUGGCGAGUCUCGGCUGAGCCAGGGUCUGGAUGACGGGCUAGCGAGACGAGUCUCACAUACAUGUGAUCUUGGGCGCUUGUGUUUUGCGACUGAACAGGACGUCAGGGCCUUAACGGGGGAGUAGUAUGUGACACCCCAAUAAUCCCACAUCGGAUAAAAUGGGGUUGUCAUUGGGUUUAUAAGAAGACUAGACACUAGUAAUAAUAACUGGGCUUAGAUUUUGGGCGUUGACUGGCCCAACGAUAUUAUUGCUAGUGGGCUGGUCGUUACAUCUAACGGGUGAAAAUGAUCAAGGCAUAGAAUCGAACGGUAAAAAACUCAACAACACAAGUGCUUGGUACUUUACAAGCACGCAUAGCCGACUUUAUAUAUAUAUAUUAUAUAUAGGUCCGACUACUACCUAUUUAAUAGGAAUUGGGACUCUUGUCCUAUCAAGGUCGAUUUGAAUGAUCGGAACUUCAAAUUGAUAAUCGGCACCGUUGAAUUGAUCUAUACAAUUAGAAAGUUUGAAACCAAAUUUGUAAUAUUUAAAAUCAUUAUCAAUUCAUCUUAAGAGUUGAAAAAUGAACGUCCAUAAAUGAAAACCUUCUAAAAUAGAGUUAUACUUUCUCAGUUCGUAAUCAGGGUCAUCAAACAUAUCUAAAUAGUAUAAUAGAAUUUUCUAUCAAAUUCAAGCAAUUGAUGCUCUACACCGCUAAACAGCAACAACGCUCAUAUAGACCGUCAAAAAUUGUCGAUUUUACGACCACUUUGAUCACAUGUAAACCACUUAUCAAAAUUAUGAAAUUUAGUUUCUAGAUAUUCAAAUACUCUAGAUCAACUUCAAUGGCUCCAAUCAUCGAUUCGGAAUCUCGAUCAUCAAGACAACUUGAUAGGACAAGUGUGUCCUAUCCUAUUAAUAGGAUAGUAGCAUUAGCCUAAUUAUAUAUAUAUAUUAUAGUUAUAUAUAUAUAUAUAUAUAUAUAUAAUUAGGCUGGAAUACUAUUAAUAGUAAAACGUUCUUUUUGCUAUCAAGUUUUUAACCCUUGGAUGAAAAAUUGUAGGGUCAGGAUGAUGUUAGUCGGCUAGAGUUGAGCAGUCCCCCUAGGGUUGAGUGGUCCCCACUGGGUUAUAGUAUUUAAUCCAAUGGUUAGAAAUAAUAAAAAGGUUGAUCCAAAGGCUAAAAAACUGGUAGCAACAAUGAGAUUUUGCUACUAAUAGUAGCCCAGUCUAACUCUAUAUAUAUAUAUAUAUAUAUAGAAUUGAGCUCCUAUGCUUUUAAAAGUACCAAGCUAUUGGUGCUUGUAGAUUUUUAGCCAUUGGAUUAAGAGAUAUGCGGUUAGGAUGAUGUGGGCCCCCUAGGGUUGAGUGGGUGGUUGGUUGAAUAGUAUAAUCUAAUGGUUGAAAAUGAUCCAAGGGGUAGAUCUAAUGGUAAAAAACUUACAAGCACCAAGUGCUUUGUGCUUUUACAAGCACCAUAGGUGGACUAUAUAUAUAUAUAUAUAUAUAUAUAGAGUUUUGCUAGAAUACUAUAGGUAGUAAACGGCUUGGUUUACUACCGAUUUGUUUUCGAUGAUAGAGCUUCCAAAUUGAUGAUUGACACCGUUAAAAAUGAUCUAAACUGUUUAAACUAUCUGGAAAUCAAAUUUCACACAUUUUCGAUAUUGUUCUCUUGUCCAUCAAGUGAACAGAAAAAUGAAUGGCUGAAAUGAAUAUCCUUCAAAAAGUGAUGAUACAAUUUUUAUAUUUGAGAUCUAGAGUCUAGAUCUUAUUUUAAAUAGUUUAAAGAAUUUUUUAACAAAAAUUUAGUUGAUUUGAACUCUUCUAUACCGUUAAACGAGCAAACGCAUCAUAUCGGCCAUUAAAAUUAUAGAUUUUGUGACCCUUUGAUCGUUCAGUUAGUGAUGCCAAAAAAUCAUGAAAUUUGAUUUCUAGAUAAUUUGAAUGGUCUAAAUCAUGUUCAACGGUGCCGAUCGUCGAUUUGGAAGCUCUAUCAUAAAAAACAAAUCGGUAGUAAACUGAGCAGUUUACUACCGAUAGUAGUCCAGUCAAACUCUCUCUCUCUCUCUCUCUCUCUCUCUCUCUCUCUCUAUAUAUAUAUAUAUAUAUGAUAUUAUUUGCGGAUUUAUAGGUGUAAUAUUGAUACUGACAUUUUUGGAGUUAUAUAUGUGAUAUUUUUAAAGUUUUAAGGGAAACACUUAAAGUGUGUUUAUUUUACUGAAAUUGGACAAAGGUGAAUAGUUUUCGAGUGUAAAUAUCUAUUUUUAUUAUUUAGUUUAUCAUAACUUCAUCUUCGGUUGUGACUCAAACUCUCCAAAAUAACGUAAUUAUCUUCGGUCCACUGCAGGCCGAUGUCAAUUACCAAAAAAAGGUGAGAAACAAAUAGUAAAAUAUUAACUCAUCUAUCAUACCUCCAGCAUUUAUAUCAUUUAUUUUCUAUCAAACAAACAAUACAAUUGGGAGAAUUUUAGCCGCAUAGUUAUACAAACAAAUAGUGAAACUGAACUUUUGGUUGAAAUGAAGUUUAGAUGAAAAUCACUUUUCCUCCGCUGUUUAUUUUCACAAGGAUAGAAGUGAAGUUUUUUCAGCUCUACUAUUUAUUUCGGAGGAAGUAUAUGAUGUAUAAAUAAUAAAUAACUUAAUAAAUAAUAAAUAAAAAUAAUAUAAUUAUAUUUUAUAUAAUUAAAAAUUUUAAUUUAAAACAACUAAAUUAUUUUUUAUACAUAAAUAAUAAUAAUACAACAAAAUAAAUUCUAAAGUAAAAAAAAUAUUAAUGCUUAACUAAUCAAUUUUCAUCACAUUUUAAAUGUACAAAUUAAAUAAAAAAUACUAAAAUUUAAUUAAUUAAAAAAAUAAUUAGUAUCCUAACUAAAUAUAUUUAAAUAUAACAGCAUUACUCAUUGUAUUAUUUUAUUAGUUUUUCCUUCAUCUCUCUUCACCAUAAUUGAUUUCGGCCUAGGAUAACUCGAGUUUUGAUUCGAGUUAAUUCGACUUAGGAUAGACUAAGGUCAAUUACAUUGUUUCGGAUUACUCGCGUUUUGGCCGUAUCCUUCUUACGACGGUCCAAACAGCAAAAAUGAUCGUGUUUACUGCAAAAAAUGACUUCACCCCUCUCGACUUUUACCUAAACAAAGAGCCCCUUAACAUUGCUCCAAUCUAAAAUAAGAAAGUAAACUUUACGUAUAAACCCCUAGAAAUUAUCUUUUCCAUAUUUAGUCCCCCCAAAGUCACAAGAGGCAAUCAUUAAUUGCGAAUUGAAUAAGGAAAGAAAAGGCCAAAAUAGCUUCUUUAUUUAUUUAUACCAUUUUAUAUUAAUAUAAUUUACUAAAUUUCACUACUAAUUCCAGAUCUUUUUAUUCAAAUUUCAAUUUGGUCCCUGAAAUCUUAUAAAUUACACACACGAUAUCGCCAAAGUUUCUGUAGUGCCUUAAGUGCAGUAAUCAUCUCCGAGAAAAAAUUAUUGUAUACGUAUAUCAUAUUUCGUAUCCUAUUAUGAAUUAUACGUAGCAAAAAUUUUAUAAUUGAAUUGUAAAAUGAAAUAUAUGAAGGAUUGAUAGAUUCGUCUCGAAUUUCAAAAGAAAAAUGCUAAGUUUACAACGCAAAAGAUCCCUCGUCCAAGGGGUUGUAGAGUUUACAAAAUUUUUUAAAGAUUUUAGUUAAAAGGAAAAUGAUAUGACAAAUUUUUUUUUUAAAAAAUAAGCAUUUGAAUGAAUAAAGUUAUAAAAUUAUAAUCCAAAAUAGGUUGUAGGCGGAGGAUUGGUCAUUUCAAAAUAUGGCUUAUUUCUAGCAAGUGUUGAGAUUUUAAGUGUGGAUUGUAGUAAUUGUUUAUAAUCUUUUAUUGAGUUAUCCGUCAAUUAAAUUAGGAAUUUUUUUUCGAAUUCGCCAAAAUUUGCGUCAAAUUAUAUAAUUUUAAUCACUUCUUAACAAAAAAAAUCAUACUAGUUAACGACUAAUAGUUCAAAAAAGAAAAACUUGAGGGGCCUCUUUCACUAAACACUAUAGUUGAGGGGUCUCAUGCAUUUUUACCAACUCUUGGUCAAACUUUUGGGAACAAGUAGUGCAAAAACAUUUAUGGCUAAAUUAUAACAAAAAUAUCUUGCACUUUAGUUUCAGUCUUAAUUAUUUGUUGCAUUAAAAGCUGCAUUAAUUACCACCAAUAUUUUACUACUUUAUCAAAAAUAGAUCCAAAAAUUUUAAAAAUUGGUAAAUUAGACUGUAAUACAUCACUAAACAAUUUAUUGAACAAUUUGUUCAAUUUAUGUAAUUCAAUUGUAUUACUUUUUGAUAACUUUAUGUAUAUAAAAAUCUGCUUUAACAAAAGUUUGCGGGUGAAUUCAACAAUUGUUCAUGAUAACCGAACAUAUUUGAGACAACGAUAAAAAUAUAAAAGGAUAAUUAAUGUAAUUUUGUAUGCUGGGGAGAUAGUUGAUGCAUACACUAAAGUGUAAGAGAAUUUUUUAUAUUUUAGCUAAAAAAAGAGAGCGGAGUUGAGAAAUAAGGGUGACUAACGAGGACGUAGACGAGGGAGGCGAGGAGGAUGGUGCGGAAUCGGCCGAGGAACGAGUCGGCGACGAGGGCGCCGAGGAGGGGGAGCAUCGAGGCGACGCCGCUCCACGUGUUUAUCGCCGCCGCCGCCGCCGCCGUCCCCUCCCCUAGUGGCCCCGUCAGGUAUGUUAUCAGGUUCGCCGAUAUCCCGUAGAACGCAAAUCUCUCUGUAAUCUCCACACCUUCAAAUUAAUUAUUCUAUUUUUAGUUAUUCACCACAUAUCCACAAUUCGGAAAAAAAAAAAAAGGUCAACUUGUUUUGUUUCCUCAUAUAUAUUUUUUAAAAAAAUCCAAACUAAGUGUUAAUGAAAUGUCAAUCAGUGAUUAGACGGCGAAAAAGUGAAAACUACGAAUAGAUCUAGAGAGAGAAAGAAAAAAGAAAAAUAAUUACCGAUGACGAAGAGGGCGGAGGUCCAGCCGCCGGAUUCGGAGCGGGAGACGGGGCGGCCGCGGAAGUCGACAGCGCCGACGAUUUUGGGGGAUUGUUGGGGAAGCAGGUUGAGAUUGAGGAGGGGGUCGUCGAAAUCCAUCGUGAUGCGCUUCCACUCUCUAUUUCUUUAUCUCACUAUUUCUCUCUUUUUCUCUCUCUCUCUCUCUCUCUCUCUCGUACUUACUUUACUGCACUAAUGCAGCAAUAUCGUUUCCUCUGCAGUUGUUACUGCUUUUUAAGGGAGAGAAUUUUCCUUUUUUAACUUUUUCUACUUGUGAUGUAAUGUGAUUUGGAAAGAUAUGGACACGUGUCUGAUGUUGAUCGGUUUGGUUUUCGAUUUUUUUUAGAAAAAAAUGGUACGCAAUCCGUUUGGAGGAAUGCUUAUGAAAUUGCCCCUAAAAUUUUGUACGAUAUUUAUAAAAUUUUUAAUUUUACAAAAGUAUUUAUGAAAUUUCUAAAUUUAGAGGGAUGCUUAUGAAAUUGCCCUUAAAAUUAAUUCUAUUUAUUUUCCUUAGCUAGGAAUAAGGGAUUCCCCAAUCACAUACAUAAAACUUAGCUAAAAUAUAUAUAGGUCAUUCUAAUUCGACUAUCCAACCUUUCAAAAUUUUGAUUUUGGUAUCCAACGUUCAAUUUGUUUGAUUUAAGUAAUUUGAUAACUCUUUGGAUAUAACAAUUGCUUAUUUUAAUAAAUUUAUAAUUAUGUAAAUUAUAUAAAAUAUACUAACUAUAUCCGUAAAUAUAAAUAACGCAUUCAAAUUUAGAAGUUAAAAAUUAUUAAUUGACUCAAAUUUAAAAAAAAUUAAAAUUUUAGAUAGCAAUCAAUAUUUUUAAAGAUAGAUAGUUGAAUCUAAACCGGUGAUAGUUGAGAUGAUUUUAUACAAUUUUACCCACAGUUUAUACUGAGUGAAAAAUGUUGUUAUCAGCAGUGUUGAUACAUGAAAAUGAAGGGAAAAUUAACUAUGUAUCCCUCAAAAUUUUUGAAAUAUCUUAUGUAACCCCUACUUUUUUUUUUGUUUUAAAUAUAUCCUUCGUAUAUUUCUCUAUUAUUUAAAAAUAACUCGCUUUUAGUACCCAUUAAAUUAUUCCAAGUUAAACCCGGAUUAAAUUUUUACCAGAGUUAAAAAAAGUCAAAAUACCUAUUUUGUCCCUAACUUACUAAUCUAUUUUCUUACUUUCUUAUUUAUCCCGCUUAGAAGGCUUUAUAUGAAAAAUAUUCUUCAAAUGUUUCAAGUUCUUUUAAAUUUACUCCUUGAAAAGUGGGUGAUAGUAGAAGAGAAUAUUUGAAUAAUCAAAAUAGUAAUAUUACAGAGACGGCGAUUGUUCAUAAUGGUUCACUAACAGAAUCUAAUUUUAGAAAUAUAUUUAACAAAACUCGAAAUGUUAGAGGAGUAUUUUCAUAUUAACCUUUUAAGCGGGAUAAAUAAAAAAGUCUGAAAUUUUUCAUGGGUAUAUAAGCAAUUACCCCUUAAUUGAACGUUGCUAGGUGGUAUAUCUUUUCAGUAUAACCGGAUUUGCUGUAGUCGUGUUAUAUUGUAAUGAAAAAUGCUACAUGUACACCUCUUUAUAGAGUGUGCAUCUUAAACUCCUUUAGUCCAAGAGUUUAAACAAUUGAAAAGAUUUUUGGUAUUUUUUUUUUUAAAAUUUGAUGUUACAAAGUAAGAGAACAAACGAAAUCUGAUCAAGAUAUUUGUGUAAUUAGUUAGUUCACUUGAAGAGCAGAACCGAUUAAACUACUUGAUAAAAUUUUUAAAAUUUUUUUUAUUAAAAUUGAAAGUUCAGACGGUUAUUUGCAACCUAAAGUUAAGCAGGUCACCAUGUUAAGUGGUUUUUCUUUUUCUUUUCUUUUUUUUUUUUCCAAGAAGUGACAUAAUAUUGUCAAAAUAGUUUAAGUUAUCUAAUGACCCAACUCACUAGUAUUAAGGGCUCAACCACCAGCCCAAAAUAUUUAAGCCUAGUUAUUAUGUUUAACCUAGUCAAGCUUAUAUACUUUCACAUUUAGUCAUAACUAUCCGAUUUGGGAUUAUUAAGGUGUUAUAGGUUAUUACCUGAGUAUAUUGGAUAUUUUUAAAGCUUUGAAAAAUAUAUUACAUAUUAUCUUUUUUAAUAUUUUUUGAAUUUCUUUGUCAUUGUUCCAAAAAUACCUGACAACUAAACACGCAUGUGCAGGCUUAGGGAGCACUAAUCUUCUGCUAUCUAAUAAGGGCUUUAUUUUAUAUUUUAUGUUUUAUUUUAUUUUAUUUCAUUUUUUUGAUCUUCUUCGUAUGAUCCGAGGCUUCAGAUCGCCGCUGAUCGGGGAUGGUCUAGGUGAGCUACAGUACUUCUCAAAUCUUGUCGCUAAUAUCUCCCUAUCUGCUGAGGAGGAUUCGAUUGCUUGGAGAUGGAAUAGAGAUGGGAAAUUCUCUGUCCACAGUGUCUACAACUUUCUCAUCUUUGGGGGAGUCAUUGAUAGCAGGAUCCUUUACAUAUGAAAAUUAAAAAUACCACUCAGGAUCAAGUUUUUUCUUUGGCUGGCCUCAAGGAAUAGGGUUCUAACGGCGGAUAAUUUGUCCAAGCGUGGCUGGCAGAGACCUUCGAUAUGUGCUCUUUGUCGCAAGAAUGAAGAAAAGCUGGAACAUAUACUAUUUGAAUGCAAGUUCGCAGUGCACCUGUGGACCAUUCUCCUAUAAGGCAUGCCGAAUACUGCACACACUCUGUUAAACCAACCAGCCGACCUUCAGUCCAGAUGGAUCUGAGCAAGAAAGACACAAUCUGGACACAAAAAUCCUCUUUGAUUUAGGCUUUGCUGCGACUUGUUAGGAACUAUGGAAAGAAAGAAACUUUAGAAUAUUUGAAAAUCGAGAAGCGGAAUGUGGGGAUGUGGGUAACAAAAUCUUUUCAUCUGUUAUUCUUUGGAUCUCUUUUCUGACGGGAUAGUGAGCAACAAAGGUGUAUUCACACUAUGGCGCUCUACUGACGUCCCUGUUUGAUGUACUUUCUCAAAUAGGGGGGCCCCCUGUUUAAUCAAAAAAAAAAAAAAAAAAUUUUUACAGAAUUGAUUUUGAUUUACAGAGUUGAUUUUUGGUUAAAAAUGAUUGAGGGUUUGGCUGAGCCUAACAACAAAGUAAUUUUUCUGAAAUGAUUUUAUAAAGCUGUUUAGUAAAUAUAUUUAUUGUUUGCAUCUAAUAAGUUUUUUUGCUAGUUUUUAUUUUAAAGUUUGAACCAAAAUUUUGAAUUUGACUUAAUUUUUUUAAAAUUUUAAAUUUUAAACGUUGAGAAAAAUUUAAAAUUUGUUAUUGAAUUUAAAAUUUUAAAUUAAAAUUAAAAUUUUAAAUUUUGAAAAUUUACAAAUUUCAAAAUUUAAAUCUAAAUUUAAAAGUUACAAAAUUUUAAUUCUAACUUUAAAGUUUAAAUUUAAAUAUAGUUAUAGAUUUAAAUUUAAAUUUAAAAUCUGAAUUUAAAUUUAAAAUUAAAUUUUGAUUCUAAGAUUUAAACUUUAAAUUUUAAUUUCGAGUCCAAAAUUAGAAUCGGAUUUCAAAAAGUAGAUUUUAGUUGCUUCUAAUUUUGGGCCUUUUAAAUUAGAAAACUGAUUCUAAAAAUCAGAUCAGAUUUUGAAAAUGUGUCCAAUUUUAAAUCCUACAUUUAGUAGUCUCUUUCGACAUAGCCAAACACCCUAUUGAAGGAAAGAUCACUUUUGACCCUAAAAUCACUUUUCAGAAUCUAAACCAAACAUCCCCUAAGUUAGAAAUUAUUUUAUUUUGUUUGAAGGCUGUCUGUUCUAAUGUAAAAGAAGAUAAAGUCAUCUCAGAAAAAAAAAAGUUGCAGCAGGGAAAAGCUGUCAAAUUUACCACUGUCAUUUGGUUGUUUGGUUGUCAAGAUCCAACAUUUACAUUUUAAUGGAUCUAAUAUUAUUAUUUCAUUGUUUGUGAUUCUGAUUCAACAUAAUUGAAUUUGAAUCAAAUGGAGGAAAUAUAUUGGUUAAUUAUGGUUCAACCAAGUUCAUCCCUUUGGGAGGAAAUAUAUAGCAAUAUACACACCAAUGAAACACCUAAAACCAAGAAGAUUUUACAUUAUGAAAACAUGUUUUUACAGCUUAAAUAAAUAAAUACACAUUAAACUGAGAAAAAAAGAAUUUAUAAGACAGAGAACAUAGCUAGAAAUAUUUGUCACCAAUUUGAAUGUUCAUAAUAACCACAUUACCGCCUUCUAACUUUCCUAAUCUCUUUAUCUUAUAUAUAGAGAGAGUUGAGCUCAUGUGCUUUUAAAAGCACAGAAAUAUUUGUGCUGCACACAUGUUUCUGUGCUUUUAAUAGUGCUGCACUGAUCUUGAGGCGAUGGGACAAUUAAAAAGUUACAUAUGUGCUUUUAAAAGCAUAGGGGCUCAUCUCUCUCUCUCUCUAUAUAUCAGUAAUGUUCUUCUUCUUCUUGUAUGCAUAGGCUUGUGCAAAGUAGAGAUAAACAAUCAGCUCCACAGCACUAAGCCCAGCAAGAAGCCAGUAGAAGUAGUGGAGAUGCGCGCGGUUCAAAUUGUUCGGGAACCAACCAUCGCCGCUGCUCUUCGUCGUUUUGUCGAUCACGGAUAUGAGGAAGCUACUUAUGAAGCUCCCUAUUCCGAAAAUGCUCAAGUACAGGGCGAGACCGAGGCUUCGCAACGUAUCAGGCACUUGGUCGUAGAAGAACUCCUGUAGUCCGACCAUUGUGAAAACGUCCGCGACGCCGAAAAGGACGAAUUGAGGAACUAUCCACCACAAACUCAUCGGAAUCGCGGCUUUUGGCUGGUCCACCAAACCAAAGUCUCGAGCGGUUUUGAUCCUUUUCGUCUCCACCAGUGCCGCUAUUACCUGUUGAUCGCAUAAAGAUAGAAAAACAUCGUUCUCUAGUAACUUUAACUUUUUACAUAUGAUAGACGAUUUUGCAGGGAUAUAUAUAUGUGUAUAAAACCCAGAUCAACGUAGAUCAAGAUUUUAGACAAAAAUAAUUAUUUAUCGUUACCAUCGAUAUCAUCGAAAGGACCAUCCCCGUGCCGAUUCUUUGAAGCAUAGUGAUUCCCGCGGGGAUCCCCGUGAAUCUUCUGGAAACUGGGACGAGUAUUCGGUCGUAUAUGGGAAUGAAUGUGACAAUAGAGAGACUGAUGAAACUUUGCAGUGCGGCGGGGGGGACUUGGAACUUCGAACCGAUUCUUCGGUCUAACGUGCUCGCUUGCUUUAUGAAGAAGGUCGACGAUUGUGCGAAAACAACACCGUAUAUCAAGCAAGUCGCCCAUAUAGGGAACAAUCGGAGGACAGCCUUCGCUUCUUGUAAAUUGUCGUCGUUAUCGGUGCCUCGAUCUCCCUCA